rnacentral:rRNA from 1 species
GAUGAACGCUGGCGGCGUGCCUAAUACAUGCAAGUCGAGCGAACAGAUAAGGAGCUUGCUCCUUUGACGUUAGCGGCGGACGGGUGAGUUACACGUGGAUAACCUACCUAUAAGACUGGGAUAACUUCGGGAAACCGGAGCUAAUACCGGAUAACAUAUUGAACCGCAUGGUUCAAUAGUGAAAGGCGGCUUUGCUGUCACUUAUAGAUGGAUCCGCGCCGUAUUAGCUAGUUGGUAAGGUAACGGCUUACCAAGGCAACGAUACGUAGCCGACCUGAGAGGGUGGUCGGCCACCCUGGAACUGGGACACGGUCCAGGCUCCUACGGGAGGCAGCAGUAGGCAAUCUUCCGCAAUGGGCGAAAGCCUGACGGAGCAACGCCGCGUGGGUGAUGAAGGUCUUCGGAUCGUAAAACUCUGUUAUCAGGGAAGAACAAAUGUGUAAGUAACUGUGCACAUCUUGACGGUACCUGAUCAGAAAGCCCCGGCUAACUACGUG